rnacentral:rRNA from 1 species
UACGAAGGGGGCUAGCGUUGUUCGGAAUCACUGGGCGUAAAGCGCACGUAGGCGGAUCUUUAAGUCAGGGGUGAAAUCCCGAGGCUCAACCUCGGAACUGCCUUUGAUACUGGGGAUCUCGAGUCCGGGAGAGGUGAGUGGAAUUGCGAGUGUAGAGGUGAAAUUCGUAGAUAUUCGCAAGAACACCAGUGGCGAAGGCGGCUCACUGGACCAUAACUGACGCUGAUGCACGAAAGCUAGGGGAGCAAACAGG